UACGGAGGGUGCGAGCGUUGUCCGGAAUCAUUGGGCGUAAAGGCGCGUAGGUGGCCGAGUAAGCGUGCGGUGAAAGCUCGGGGCUCAACCCCGAGUCGGCCGUGCGAACUACUCAGCUCGAGCACUGUAGAGGCAGGCGGAAUUCCGGGUGUAGCGGUGGAAUGCGUAGAGAUCCGGAAGAACACCGGUGGCGAAGGCGGUCGCUGGGCCGUUGCUGA
rnacentral:rRNA from 1 species